rnacentral:rRNA from 1 species
UACGUAGGGGUCUAGCGUUGUCCGGAAUUAUUGGGCGUAAAGAGCUCGUAGGCGGUUCGGCAAGUCGGAUGUGAAAUCUCCACGCUUAACGUGGAGGGGCCAUUCGAAACUGCCGUGACUCGAGUCCGGUAGGGGAGUGCGGAAUUCCCGGUGUAGCGGUGAAAUGCGCAGAUAUCUGGAGGAACACCAGCGGCGAAGGCGGCGCUCUGGGCUGGAACUGACGCUGAGGAGCGAAAGCGUGGGGAGCGAACAGG